GAUGAACGCUGGCGGCGUGCCUAAUACAUGCAAGUCGAGCGAACGGACGAGAAGCUUGCUUCUCUGAUGUUAGCGGCGGACGGGUGAGUAACACGUGGAUAACCUACCUAUAAGACUGGGAUAACUUCGGGAAACCGGAGCUAAUACCGGAUAAUAUUUUGAACCGCAUGGUUCAAAAGUGAAAGACGGUCUUGCUGUCACUUAUAGAUGGAUCCGCGCUGCAUUAGCUAGUUGGUAAGGUAACGGCUUACCAAGGCAACGAUGCAUAGCCGACCUGAGAGGGUGAUCGGCCACACUGGAACUGAGACACGGUCCAGACUCCUACGGGAGGCAGCAGUAGGGAAUCUUCCGCAAUGGGCGAAAGCCUGACGGAGCAACGCCGCGUGAGUGAUGAAGGUCUUCGGAUCGUAAAACUCUGUUAUUGGGGAAGAAAAUAUGUGUAAGUAACUGUGCACAUCUUGACGGUACCUAAUCAGAAAGCCACGGCUAACUACGUG
rnacentral:rRNA from 1 species